rnacentral:rRNA from 1 species
UUCUUUGGUGGCGAGUGGCGGACGGGUGAGUAAUGUAUCGGAACGUGCCCAGUAGUGGGGGAUAACUACGCGAAAGCGUAGCUAAUACCGCAUAUUCUCUUCGGAGGAAAGGGGGGGAUCAUUUGACCUCUCGCUAUUGGAGCGGCCGAUAUCAGAUUAGUUAGUUGGUGGGGUAACGGCCUACCAAGGCAGUGAUCUGUAGCUGGUUUGAGAGGACGACCAGCCACACUGGGACUGAGACACGGCCCAGACUCCUACGGGAGGCAGCAGUGGGGAAUUUUCGACAAUGGGGGAAACCCUGAUCGAGCCAUCCCGCGUGUGGGACGAAGGCCUUCGGGUUGUAAACCACUUUUCUUAGCGAAGAAAGGUCUUAGGCUAAUACCUUAAGACGCUGACGGUAGCUAAGGAAUAAGCAUCGGCUAACUACGUGCCAGCAGCCGCGGUAAUACGUAGGAUGCAAGCGUUAAUCGGAAUUACUGGGCGUAAAGGGUGCGCAGGCGGCUUGGAAAGAACGGUGUGAAAUCCCGGGGCUCAACCCCGGAACUGCACUAUUAACUAUCAAGCUAGAGUAUGUCAGAGGGGGGUGGAAUUCCGCGUGUAGCAGUGAAAUGCGUAGAUAUGCGGAGGAACACCAAUGGCGAAGGCAGCCCCCUGGGAUAAUACUGACGCUCAGGCACGAAAGCGUGGGUAGCAAACAGGAUUAGAUACCCUGGUAGUCCACGCCCUAAACGAUGUCAACUAGCUGUUGGGCCGGUUACGGCUUAGUAGCGCAGCUAACGCGUGAAGU